UACGAAGGGUGCGAGCGUUGUUCGGAAUUAUUGGGCGUAAAGCGCACGUAGGCGGUUGGAUAAGUCUGUCUGUGAAAGCCCGGGGCUCAACCCCGUGGAUGGCAGGGGAUACUGUCCGACUGGAGACAAGCAGAGGUUGGUAGAAUUCCGGGUGUAGCGGUGGAAUGCGUAGAGAUCCGGAGGAAUACCAGAGGCGAAGGCGGCCAACUGGGCUUGUUCUGACGCUGAGGUGCGAAAGCGUGGGGAGCGAACAGGAUUAGAAACCCCCGUAGUCC
rnacentral:rRNA from 1 species